GGGCCCGCACAAGCGGUGGAGCAUGUGGUUUAAUUCGAUGAUACGCGAGGAACCUUACCAGGGCUUAAAUGUAGUGGGACAGGUCUAGAGAUAGACCCUUCUUCGGACAUUUUUCAAGGUGCUGCAUGGUUGUCGUCAGCUCGUGCCGUGAGGUGUCAGGUUAAGUCCUAUAACGAGCGCAACCCCUACCGUUAGUUGCCAGCGUGUAAUGACGGGGACUCUAACGGGACUGCCGGUGCAAACCGCGAGGAAGGUGGGGAUGACGUCAAAUCAUCACGGCCCUUACGUCCUGGGCUACACACGUGCUACAAUGGCCGGUACAGAGGGCAGCCACACCGCAAGGUGGAGCGAAUCCUUAAAACCGGUCUCAGUUCGGAUCGGAGUCUGCAACUCGACUCCGUG
rnacentral:rRNA from 1 species